UUGUAUUCAGCUGUAAAGCUAAUACUUCCUAAUAAUCUAAAUUAUUGUAAACCUAACAGUAUGCUUAUCAGAAAACUAUUCUAUUUCAGGGUAAUAACAAACCUGCUCACUACAGUGCUACAAAGUUUGCAGCAAAGUCUACACAGACCCACCCCACCCCCAGUGAGCCCAUGCUGCCACUUAUAGGGAGCCCCCUCUACCUUGCUGCUCAACUGCAUCUGUUCCAUUAAUAAUGCCAUAGUGCUUGCAACUGCAGAGCCAGGCAUGCUGGUCAGUGGUAUGCCUGGCUUCCAGACUGCAGGUGCUCUGGGAUCUUUACAGGGUGAGCAAGUAGCUGAAGAGAGCAGAGAGCACCAGUGUCUCCAUCUAGGCAGACACUGCCAGUGGCAGCUGUGACCCAUUUGCCACCAGGCAGCAACAGGAGCAGGGCAGCCUGCAAGUCUCCCUGACAGCUCACCCAUGGAUGAACUAACAGGGAGGCAGAUGCUUGCCUUCCCUCUCUCCCUUUCCCUUGGAAGGUGGGAAGGAGAGCAGAACUAUACAGGGUUGUCUGAAGUAAAACUGAAAGAGAACUCCUGACGUCUUAGUACAGUAGUUGUAACCAGUAGCAAGUAAUGUAACAAGUAGCAUAUACCCUGAUUGCUAGGGACUCUAGAUGAGAAGUGUCUCUUUUUCAGAGAAGAUACAAAACCCACGGGCUUGCCAAAAAUAGCUUUAAUAACCACAGAUGGUACUUUUUGUAAGUACUGACACUAGCUUUCAGGCAGAAUUCCAGCUUGGAUAAUUGCAUAUUGUGUAGAAGUGCAGCAUGAUAGCUACAAGAGAUGGUUGCACCUUGCUAGUAAAUUAAUGAUUCUUUUUUAAAUCUUUUAGGUAGGCUGGAAUCUUUCAGAAAGAAAGGUGUUAUGUAACUGCUUCAUUUAUCUCCUCCUCUUCCAACUUAGAAAACAUUUUAAUACAAAUUCUAAAAAUUUGUCUCGGUUAUCUAUUGACACAGGAUGAGAUUCCAUGCUAUGCCUCAGAAGCACCCCAGGGAACUUGCAGUCCCAGCAGAGGGAAUCGCUAUAGUUGCUUCAAGCUACCUUUGACUUCUCUAAGUCCUUGGUGUUAACUUAGAUUAAUCUUGUAAUGAACAUUGAGAUACCACAGGUUUCUACUUAGGAUAAACAAUUCAUGGAUACAUACAAACUGUGAUAUGUAUCUUUUUCUUACCAGAUAUUAUUUUAUAAGUGUGGCAAAAUAUCGUAUUUACUAGGUGCAGUGUCACAUACAAUUCAAAUAUAGUUUAAGAUGUGAAUAUGCUACCAGGGAGAAACUGUUUAAAUAGGGGGUGCAUUCUGUUCCAAGUAGUUGAAACAAAUCUAUUCACUUUAAAUGAAACCGUAUAUAUAGGUGAUGAUAUACAAAUAACUUCUGCACUUCAGGUUUUGUAUUUGUUUUCUUUUAGAAGUCAGUCCACUUUCUGUGAUCUUUGUAUCCUUAUGCUGUAUGUCAAUAUAGGUACUCCAGCAAAUGUGGAAUUUGAGACCAAAAUGGAUGUAACUAUUUCAUUAGAAACGAAAAAAACUGCACAAAUGACUGUUAAAGUCACUAAAACAUUUUAUUAUCUGUCCCUCUUGCAUCACUUUCAUUUACUUUUUGCUGCUAGAUUAUAAAACGUUUUAACAUCAUAAAUCCUUAAGCAUAAAUAAACAUUAAUGCACAGUGAAAAUAAUGGGUGCCAUUAUUGUAUCUUCCAAGAGAUGCUAAGCAUAUUGGUUUCCACAGACCUUUUUGGAAUUGAAGGGCCUCCAUUCUGGAAAAUAGGUAUGCAUCACAAGUUAUUUAAAAAAAAAAAAAAAAAGUUUUUUUUCCAUUUAGGUACCUAAAAUUUAAAUGAUCAGAUUUGUGGAAGCUAAUUAAUUUUGAUUUCUUCACAAAAUCUGGUCUAAAUUCUACGGCUCAAGCCCUGAAAAUUCAGGCCAUGAUGCCUAUUACUCCGUUACUGACAUUGCCUGAACUUCAGCUUGUGACAUAAUUGCCUGCUUUAAAAAUUACUAAUGAUACAAUCUGACAGGAUGAUGAUAAAAGCUUUAGACGAGCACCUUCAUGGAGAAAGAAGUUUAGACCAAAGGACAUUAGAGGUUUAGCUGCUGGAUCAGCAGAGACUCUCCCUGCAAAUUUCAGAGUUACCACCUCAAUGUCUUCACCCUCUAUGCAGCCAAAGAAGAUGCAAAUUGAUGGCAAUGUAUCAGGAACACAAAGAUUGGAUUCUGCUACAGUAAGGACUUAUUCCUGUUAAAGCCUUCUGUUGUUUACCCACACUAUUUCUACCGGUGAUAUGCGGCAUUUUGAACUCAGACCAUAUUUUACAAAUCAUUGGAAUCUUUAAUCUGUUAAUAAUUGUUAAAUGGACACUUUGAAAUAUUUUAUUACAGAGUUUUUAAUUAGCAAAUGAAUUCAUGAGUACCAUAGAGAAAAUAUUUUAGAAUUAAAUGUUUCUUAUAUUUAUGUGACCUCUCAUUUAUAUAAUUACUUACCUUUCUGUUUGUAUUCAGUCUAUAAAAGAAAUCAUUGCUGAUUUUUUUUCCUUAAUUUGUUAGUCUUUCCAACUGAAUGUACUGUAAUGCUUGUAUGUAUAUGCCCCUAUAAGUAAUAUAGGGUUUUUGUAAAUUAUGCAGUUAUUGUAAUUAUCAUUAAUGUUUUUUAAUAAUGAAACUGAAGGUGAAAAGGAUUUUAAUACCUUUGUAAAAGUAUGACAUCAAGCAGUAUAUAUUUUGUCUUUUGAAAAUGUUAGCUAGUUCUAAAAAUGAAAUGAAAUAAAUAAACCUACCCUUUUCAGUCAAGCAUAUGUUGUAGAAAACAAGAAUGGUACAUGAUUUUUGGUUUCUGUUCAGAGCAAUACCUUUUUCACAAAGAAAAAUCUGUCAACUAGUAUGAAUUAAGUAUUUAAAAUAUAACUUGAUUUUUGAAAACUGGGAAACAGCAGAACACUGUGGAAUACACUUUAGAACUGGUUAACUCCUUCAGGACUUCCAGUCUCCGUUGUAUUUUGUGUAACCUAUCUUUACAGUGACUGAACAAGAAGCCAUAAACUAAGAAACGUUUUCUCUCAACCAGGGAAGACAGAUUUUGUAAUGAGUUCCUGGUAGUAAUCCACAGACCACAGGAAGUGCUUUUUCCUCCCAUAUCCUUUUGAUUGAAAACAUUUGUGGAAAGGCGCUGAUGCAACUCUUUUUAGUGGACCAGUCAUGAAGCACUGCAGACUCAUGUCAAAGAAAAGGAAUAAAAGAAGAUGAAGGUACAAUAUACUGAAGAAUAAAGUAGUGCAACUUCUAAUAAAGGCCUUAUUUUUCGUAUGUAAGUCAUCUUUUUGCAUUUGUUUGUAAACUUGUUCUAAAAAUGUUUCCAGAGGUUUUUUAAAAUGUUGGUGGUUGUAGCCAUUAUGGACUGUUUGAGUAGAAAAUGUAUCCAUUUUAAAUGGCACGUUAAAAAGCCAGCAGGAAAUGUGUUCAGAUCACGGUGCAUUAUUUAUUAUGCAACAAUAUAUAGCAUGUCUUUUUUUUCUUAUUUUUUUCUGUUCUUUUAAUUUACUUGUACAACUGAGAUUUAUUGCUACUAUUCUGUUUUUCUAUUAAUCUUUUAUGUAUUUUCUGAUUUGUGUAACAAAAUAUGUACAGCCUAAGUACUUUUGGACUAUUUUUAUCACAGUAUUAUUUAUUGCUUUCUUUCAAUAAAGUACUGAAGCAUUUUCCACUGCCAAUAAAAUGCUGUUGAAAAAAAACUAAGCUCUAAUUGUAUACAGAAUUAGGCUAUGUUUGUGGUUGAGUGCUGGAGAGUUGUCAAUAAAGCAUUCUAAUGAUUUGAGUC